rnacentral:tRNA from 1 species
GCAGCGAUGACCGGGUGGUUAAGGAGUUUGAGUUGAAGUCAAAUGGGGUAUGACCGCGUAGGUUCGAACCCUGCUAGCUGCG